UACGUAGGGUGCAAGCGUUGUCCGGAAUUAUUGGGCGUAAAGAGCUCGUAGGCGGCUUGUCGCGUCGGCUGUGAAAACCUGGGGCUCAACCCCGGGCCUGCAGCCGAUACGGGCAAGCUAGAAUUCGGUAGGGGAGACUGGAAUUCCUGGUUGUAGCGGUGGAAAUGACGCAGAUAUCAGGAGGAACACCGGUGGCGAAGGCGGAUCUCUGGGCCAUUACUGACGCUGAGGAGCGAAAGCGUGGGGGAGCGAACAGG
rnacentral:rRNA from 1 species